GUGGAGUGAAAUGGACAAAAGCGAGACUCACUUAACGCACUUAAUGGUUCCUAGUUGAUACUAAACUGAUACAAAGGACGAAGGAUAACAGUGGAUAUCUUUGGGACACUGGCGGUGGAUUGGUGAAUUGAUUGUAACGUAGUAUGUAGAAGCAGCUGUGAUAAAUAGUGCGCAUAUUAUACGAAAAAAGCAAAAA